rnacentral:rRNA from 1 species
CGGUGGUCAUAGCGUGAGGGAAACGCCCGGUCCCAUUUCGAACCCGGAAGCUAAGCCUCAAAGCGCCGAUGGUACUGCAAGGGGGACCUUGUGGGAGAGUAGGACGCCGCCGAACA